AGCUCGGUAACGGACAGGCAGAACAUGAUGUCAGGCAGCAAAGAGCCACGGGUCAAUGAGCAAGUCCCAAAGAGGAAAAGGCAGAUAAAACAUCCAGUCCCAGAAGUCCUGAGUAGGGUCUCAAGGCAGGGAAUUGGGUUCCCAAGUGCAACGUAGGGCUUGGAUGCAGAGGUCUAAGAGAAUGGCCUGGCUGUUUGUACCUGAAAAAAAGAAGUUUAAAGGAGCAUCAAUGCUACAGUCUAGCAUGACUGUGGAAACUGGGCCAAAGAAGGGAUCCUCAUAUAACACAAUCCUUGCUAAAGCUCGAGAUCCCCAGAGCUGACUAUACCAUCCAGGCAUGCACUUGGAUGGCAACGUGUACAGACUUACAGGAUCUAAAGGGACUAAAGAAACAAAAGAUAGUGGGAUCUAUAACACAGGAGACUGGGCUUCCGCACUUCUCUGACUGGAUGUUCCUAUACCUGAGGCUUCAUCGCCAAGUAACACCUAUAGUUCAUAUGAUCUCUGUAGUCGGGUAAAGUAAUUAUACAUCAAUAGUUAUUCCAAGAGUUGUAUCUAUUCAUAUUCAGGGGUUUGAGAACACGCAAUCUCAGAAAAAGCUAAAUAAGCUGGUGGCUUUUGACGCUCACAGAGCUCAAAGUUUAGGAAUCAAUCAUUUUUAUCAUAGUUGGGGAGAAGGUAGAAAAGAAUGGUUAGAAAUAGACUCUCGCCAGAUGGCCAGAUUUUAUUCCUCUUGCUUUCUGGUUGGCCAAGCCCCACGGCUCAGGGAAGCCAUCUUGAAUCUUUUCCAACUGUCAUCCAUGGGAGGCAGCAGAUUGGAGCGGAGAGCCAGGCACUUGCACACAGAAAUUCAUCCAGUGGCAAACUAUAGCCUUUGGAAAAAAUGUCUCCUCUCCUGGGAGCGGGGACACCGUGGGAAAAGAGAACCAAUUGGGAUUGUGGAGCUAGAAGAGCUGUGAAGGCAACAGCUGGUAUUUAUGAAGACUAAACCAGGUCUGUGCCAAGCACCCUACAUGCGUUAUUUCCUUUAGUCUGUGCAAUGAUCCCAGGAGGCAGGUACUUUUCUUGUUCCCAUUUUCAGAGAAGGAAGUUGAGACUUUGAGAGUUUGGGUAACAGGCCUGACAUCAAGGAGGCGGGAGGUAGGAGACCAGUCUGGGAUGGUUCAGAUGGGCUUCCUAGGCUGCUCCAUACUGCUGCCCUGAGAGUGGACUGUGGACUCAGCCUCAGCUUCUCUCUCCCUGAAAUGGGAACAAUAAAAUUUGUCUUUCCUACA
rnacentral:lncRNA from 1 species